CCUACGGGGGGCAGCAGUGAGGAAUAUUGGUCAAUGGCCGAGAGGCUGAACCAGCCAAGUCGCGUGAGGGAAGACGGCCCUACGGGUUGUAAACCUCUUUUGUCGGGGAGCAAAGCGAGUCACGUGUGACUCAUUGAGAGUACCCGAAGAAAAAGCAUCGGCUAACUCCGUGCCAGCAGCCGCGGUAAUACGGAGGAUGCGAGCGUUAUCCGGAUUUAUUGGGUUUAAAGGGUGCGUAGGCGGGCUGUUAAGUCAGCGGUAAAAUGUCGGGGCUCAACCCCGGCCUGCCGUUGAAACUGGCGGCCUCGAGUGGGCGAGAAGUAUGCGGAAUGCGUGGUGUAGCGGUGAAAUGCAUAGAUAUCACGCAGAACUCCGAUUGCGAAGGCAGCAUACCGGCGCCCUACUGACGCUGAGGCACGAAAGCGUGGGUAUCGAACAGGAUUAGAUACCCUUGUAGUC
rnacentral:rRNA from 1 species